rnacentral:rRNA from 2 species
GUUAUAUGGUCAAGUGAAGAAGCGCAUACGGUGGAUGCCUUGGCAGUCAGAGGCGAUGAAAGACGUGGUAGCCUGCGAAAAGCUUCGGGGAGUCGGCAAACAGACUUUGAUCCGGAGAUGUCUGAAUGGGGGAACCCAGCCAUCAUAAGAUGGUUACCUUACACUGAAUACAUAGGUGUAUGGAGCGAACCAGGGGAACUGAAACAUCUAAGUACCCUGAGGAAAAGAAAUCAACCGAGAUUCCCUUAGUAGUGGCGAGCGAACGGGGACUAGCCCUUAAGUGGCUUUGAGAUUAGCGGAACGCUCUGGAAAGUGCGGCCAUAGUGGGUGAUAGCCCUGUACGCGAAAAUCUCUUAGUCAUGAAAUCGAGUAGGACGGAGCACGAGAAACUUUGUCUGAAUAUGGGGGGACCAUCCUCCAAGGCUAAAUACUACUGACUGACCGAUAGUGAACUAGUACCGUGAGGGAAAGGCGAAAAGAACCCCGGAGAGGGGAGUGAAAUAGAUCCUGAAACCGUAUGCGUACAAGCAGUGGGAGCCCACUUUGUUGGGUGACUGCGUACCUUUUGUAUAAUGGGUCAGCGACUUAUUUUCAGUGGCGAGCUUAACCGAAUAGGGGAGGCGUAGCGAAAGCGAGUCUUAAUAGGGCGUCUAGUCGCUGGGAAUAGACCCGAAACCGGGCGAUCUAUCCAUGGGCAGGUUGAAGGUUGGGUAACACUAACUGGAGGACCGAACCGACUACCGUUGAAAAGUUAGCGGAUGACCUGUGGAUCGGAGUGAAAGGCUAAUCAAGCUCGGAGAUAGCUGGUUCUCCUCGAAAGCUAUUUAGGUAGCGCCUCAUGUAUCACUGUAGGGGGUAGAGCACUGUUUCGGCUAGGGGGUCAUCCCGACUUACCAAACCGAUGCAAACUCCGAAUACCUACAAGUGCCGAGCAUGGGAGACACACGGCGGGUGCUAACGUCCGUCGUGAAAAGGGAAACAACCCAGACCGUCAGCUAAGGUCCCAAAGUUAUGGUUAAGUGGGAAACGAUGUGGGAAGGCUUAGACAGCUAGGAGGUUGGCUUAGAAGCAGCCACCCUUUAAAGAAAGCGUAAUAGCUCACUAGUCGAGUCGGCCUGCGCGGAAGAUGUAACGGGGCUCAAACCAUACACCGAAGCUACGGGUAUCACGUAAGUGAUGCGGUAGAGGAGCGUUCUGUAAGCCUGUGAAGGUGAGUUGAGAAGCUUGCUGGAGGUAUCAGAAGUGCGAAUGCUGACAUGAGUAACGACAAUGGGUGUGAAAAACACCCACGCCGAAAGACCAAGGUUUCCUGCGCAACGUUAAUCGACGCAGGGUUAGUCGGUCCCUAAGGCGAGGCUGAAAAGCGUAGUCGAUGGAAAACAGGUUAAUAUUCCUGUACUUCUGGUUAUUGCGAUGGAGGGACGGAGAAGGCUAGGCCAGCUUGGCGUUGGUUGUCCAAGUUUAAGGUGGUAGGCUGAGAUCUUAGGUAAAUCCGGGAUCUUAAGGCCGAGAGCUGAUGACGAGUCGUCUUUUAGACGACGAAGUGGUUGAUGCCAUGCUUCCAAGAAAAGCUUCUAAGCUUCAGGUAACCAGGAACCGUACCCCAAACCGACACAGGUGGUUGGGUAGAGAAUACCAAGGCGCUUGAGAGAACUCGGGUGAAGGAACUAGGCAAAAUGGCACCGUAACUUCGGGAGAAGGUGCGCCGGUGAGGGUGAAGGACUUGCUCCGUAAGCUCAUGCCGGUCGAAGAUACCAGGCCGCUGCGACUGUUUAUUAAAAACACAGCACUCUGCAAACACGAAAGUGGACGUAUAGGGUGUGACGCCUGCCCGGUGCCGGAAGGUUAAUUGAUGGGGUUAGCUAACGCGAAGCUCUUGAUCGAAGCCCCGGUAAACGGCGGCCGUAACUAUAACGGUCCUAAGGUAGCGAAAUUCCUUGUCGGGUAAGUUCCGACCUGCACGAAUGGCGUAACGAUGGCGGCGCUGUCUCCACCCGAGACUCAGUGAAAUUGAAAUCGCUGUGAAGAUGCAGUGUAUCCGCGGCUAGACGGAAAGACCCCGUGAACCUUUACUAUAGCUUUGCACUGGACUUUGAAUUUGCUUGUGUAGGAUAGGUGGGAGGCUUUGAAGCGUGGACGCCAGUUCGCGUGGAGCCAACCUUGAAAUACCACCCUGGCAACUUUGAGGUUCUAACUCAGGUCCGUUAUCCGGAUCGAGGACAGUGUAUGGUGGGUAGUUUGACUGGGGCGGUCUCCUCCUAAAGAGUAACGGAGGAGUACGAAGGUGCGCUCAGACCGGUCGGAAAUCGGUCGUAGAGUAUAAAGGCAAAAGCGCGCUUGACUGCGAGACAGACACGUCGAGCAGGUACGAAAGUAGGUCUUAGUGAUCCGGUGGUUCUGUAUGGAAGGGCCAUCGCUCAACGGAUAAAAGGUACUCCGGGGAUAACAGGCUGAUACCGCCCAAGAGUUCAUAUCGACGGCGGUGUUUGGCACCUCGAUGUCGGCUCAUCACAUCCUGGGGCUGAAGCCGGUCCCAAGGGUAUGGCUGUUCGCCAUUUAAAGUGGUACGCGAGCUGGGUUUAGAACGUCGUGAGACAGUUCGGUCCCUAUCUGCCGUGGACGUUUGAGAUUUGAGAGGGGCUGCUCCUAGUACGAGAGGACCGGAGUGGACGAACCUCUGGUGUUCCGGUUGUCACGCCAGUGGCAUUGCCGGGUAGCUAUGUUCGGAAUAGAUAACCGCUGAAAGCAUCUAAGCGGGAAACUAGCCUCAAGAUGAGAUCUCACUGGAACCUUGAGUUCCCUGAAGGGCCGUCGAAGACUACGACGUUGAUAGGUUGGGUGUGUAAGCGCUGUGAGGCGUUGAGCUAACCAAUACUAAUUGCCCGUGAGGCUUGACCAUAUAACACCCAAGCAAUU